rnacentral:rRNA from 1 species
GACAAGCUCCGAAAGGAGCCUCCCGCAAGGGCACUUGUAGAGGUGCUGCAUGGCUGUCGUCAGCUCGUGUCGUGAGAUGUUGGGUUAAGUCCCGCAACGAGCGCAACCUUGUUUGCUGUUGCCAUCAGGUAAUGCUGGGCACUCUGCAAAGACUGCCGGUGAUAAACCGGAGGAAGGUGGGGAUGACGUCAAGUCAGCAUGGCCUUUAUGUCUGGGGCUACACACGUGCUACAAUGGCCGAUACAAACCGUCGCGAGCCCGCAAGGGGGAGCUAAUCGGAGAAAGUCGGUCUCAGUUCGGAUUGCAGGCUGCAACUCGCCUGCAUGAAGUUGGAAUCGCUAGUAAUCGCGGAUCAGCACGCCGCGGUGAAUACGUUCCCGGGCCUUGUACACACCGCCCGUCACAUCACGAAAGCCGGUUGUACUAGAAGUCGCCACACCAACCCGCAAGGGAGGGAGGCGCCUAAGGUAUGGUCGGUGAUUGGGGUGAAGUCGUAACAAGGUAGGCGUAGAUGA